rnacentral:rRNA from 1 species
AUUUGUCCCAUCCAGACGCCGCGCCCGCACCCAACGCAACCCAAUCCCCUCGUCCCGCACGCCGUGCACACUUCGGUCCCCUCAUCCCACACGAACCCUAGGAGAGAGAGAUAGGAAGAUGAGAGGGAGAGAAAGGGGAGAGGAGAGGAGAGGGAGGUCCGGCAGCGGACGGGAGAGGGUGACCGGCCGGCGUCGGCCUACACCGGCGAGGCGUCGGCCUGCGCCCCUCCUCGCGCACGAACCCUAGCUGAGAGACAAAAUGAGGAGGAGAGAGAGAAGGAAGGAGAGGAGGGAGAAAGAUAGAGGAAAGAGGAAAGGGAGGUGCGGCGGCUGACAGGAGAGAGGGUCAUCGGCCGGCGCUGGAGAGGAUGGGCCCAACCUGGACGCGACCUGGAGGUUGGCGGCGGCUCGAUCCACUCCUGGAUCGGGACCUGCGACGAGGCUGGGGCUCGGGCGCGUUGUACGGGAGGCUGCACUCCGCCUCUUCCUCGUUAGCUCUUCUUCUUCACUGCCUUAAUUACCAGGACAACCAUUUUGUUGCUUCCUUUACAAAUAGAGUGUGUUAGACUUUCUCUUUGUUUGUCUCAUCUCCUUCUUAAGUGACUGGUUCCUGCACGGUUAUUGGCUUCUCCAAUGGAUCAUGUAGGUAGAAACUAAAAAGAACUGGAUAAUUUCUUUUACCCUUCUUUUAAUUUCAAUAGGAUUCCCGAGUUCAGAAUUGACAAUUCACAUCAGUAAUCAGUACAGAGCAGAUCAAUUGAUUUUCAUAAAAACGCAUAUUAGAAUUAUCAUUGGAUUGGUUUUCAUGUGCCUUUAUUAGACAUAUAGUGCAGAGGGAGUAAAUUAGUUUCACAGAAUGUUUCCUUGGAUUUUAGUUGCACUUCAUUCUGUUGUUUCGGUCUUUGUACAUUCAGAUGCUUUUUAAUUCAAAAGGAAACAACUCACAGAGGUUAUGUAUGGGAGGCUACACUCUGCCUCUUCCUCGUGGUGCGGCGGACGGCGGCUCUUGCGGUCGUGUGCUGACGACGGCCUCAGCGGGUGGGCGACCAAUGGCGGUGCCAGGGGUUAGCUGUGUAGGCAACUGACUACACAACAUAUUGGCAUGCAUUAGUAGACAUCAAGCAAAAACCAGUUUUCACACAUGCAUAAGUAUUUGACAUCACAACGUUGAACUCUUGCCUUCACCACUGUGGGCGACUACACUUGCAGCUGGCGCUUCGCCACUGUGGGCGACUACACUUGCAGCUGGCGCUAUACCCAUGGAUUCCGGCAUUAGCUCGAAACGCUCAGGACAAAUUAGGUCUCGACCAAUGGUGGAGAAGACAGAGUACAGGGAUGAGCCGCUCGAGCAUGGUUUGAUGGGAUGUUCGCGCGCAAGAUGCAGAAGUUCGCCAGAAGGAAGAAGAGCUGGGCGUCGAGGAGGAGAAGAAGGUGGUAUGCGAGGUGCUUGUAGGCCCAGCAGCAGGAGGCCGUCCUUGAGGUGCUCCUCUGGAUGAUCCCUUCCGGCGCUGGGUCUACGUGUUCAAUGCUGCCCUCACCAUCCCCUUCUUCCAUUGGCUCAUCGGCCCGUCAGAGUUCAGAGAUCUAAUACUCCGCACUGCCUCCCAUCCAUUUUCAGAUAUAUAUAUAUUUAUAUAAGGUUUAUCAUCACCCCAUGGAUCAUGUGUUGUUGAUUGACCAGGUUAUUGAGGUGGAGGUCAACGGGGUGAGGAACAGAAGUGGAGUGCUCAUAAAGAAACGAAGCUGCUCCCUGGACUCGCCAGUGCCGCCGCCUCCAGUCGCUUCCGCCUAGGCAUCCCGUCGCUAGCAAGAUUGAACUGACCAAUCCGUGUGAUUGAGGAAUCCUUGUGGAGAAAAAGAAUUCAAGGAACUCCACAUCUCCGAGUACAGAGGAUUUCAAGAAAAAAAAAGUGUGCUGGAGCAAGAAAGGGAACAUGGGAAAGGCUGCGUACUAUAGACCCAAAGUGGUCGGACCCUUCCCUGGACCCUGCGCAAGCGGGAGCUACAUGCACCAGGUCAUAUUGCCAGCACAUUCCAAGCGGAAUGGAGUGCCCAGUUUUGUCCAGAAAGCUGAGGCCUUCUGGUGGUUUAGCAUGAUAUUUCCUUAGUUGUCUUUUUGACUAGAAGAAGGAAGAAGUGUUGCUUGACUGGAAUGAGAUCACAAAGGAAUCUGAGACGAGCUUUGCUACAUAAAGUAGUCUGAUGUGAUCUCCAUAUUCAUACAUAAUAUAUCGAUGUUAUGUGCACAUUAGAAGUUGUCAAAUAUCUCCUGGUCAUAGGUAUCUUGCAUAUACUCUUGAUACAUCUAGGGGAAACUGUUUUCGCUGGAACUGAAAGAUCUUCAGUCUAGGUUAUGUUUCUAAAGCUCCAUGCUUAAUCAUCCAGACUGUUUCCAAGUGACUACUUUACACAUGGGAGACUGGAUGCCUGGAGGAGUUCAGAGAAGCUGGUGUUAUGUUACAUAUGGUCUUCAAGCUAAUGUUAUGUUUCUUGCAUGGUUUGUAUAUUUGUUGCAAAAACAUAGUACAAGAAAAAGAUCUAUGCUCAUGAAGAUGGCAGAAGGGAACUACAUGUGGAACUAGAACCACCAGCGCUGACCAGUUGGGCAUCUGGAUAGUGGUAGUGAACAAAAAUUGCUUGCCAUAUAGAGUCAAUGUAUUCUACUACUAUCACACUCGCUGAUUUUUAUGUUAUGAAAUUAUAGUUCAACCAUAGUAUGUAUUUACACUCCUGCUGUGAGAUUGUACUAUGUAAAUUAUGGGAGGACAAUAUAGGUCUUUAUAUGCAAAAAACUCCUUGUUGAAAUGAGUAACUUGAGCC